rnacentral:lncRNA from 1 species
UGAGCAUGAAUAUUGGAGCUAAAAUUUGGUGCCAUGCUUUUGGGAAAAUUCGGCCAAAAUCAAAGGGUGGAUUUUUGGGUUCUUGAUUGACUUGUUAAAAGUGUUUUAAUGUGUUCUUUGGAACCCCUAAGUACCCUAGUUUGGUUAGAUGUUAUUUCCCUUAAGUAAGAAUGGUUUUUGGAAUGUUUUUGGGUGGAAAAAGUUCAUGGAAAAAUUUGGGUUUUUCAUGGAUGUUCUUCAUUGUUCUUGAUGUUCUUGCCAAGAACAAAAAGGUUUGGUGUUUUGAUUCAAAGUUUUGAAUUAUUUCAUAAAGUAUAUGUGAUAUGUUUUUAAAUGAUUUAUUAUGUAUUUAAAGUGUUAGAUAUUUGUAUAAAUGAUGAUUGAAAUAAUUGUGAUUGAAUUAUUUCAUAAACUUAUCUUACAUACACUUGCAUGUUUUUGACAAAACUCACAAAUCAACACACACACCAACCUUAUCCCUCCCUAAAACCAGCCACUCCCUCAAAGGGAGUACUUUUGGGGCUUUUAUGCAAUUACAUAAAGUUUUGAUACUUUUGUGUAUUUGCACUUUGGUCCAAAAGUUUACGUUUUUACGUUUAGGUCCAAAAACGCUAAAGGACAAAUUGUUUUGUUCCUUUAAUGAAGUUUUUGCAUUAUUAAAAGUUUGGGUUCUAGUUGUAUUUACAUGAAGUAGUGACUUUUGUGUAUUAUACAAAGUGACCCCAAAAGUUUUUGUAUUUGCAAUAUGGCCCAAAAGUUGAGGUUAAUUGCAUGAUGGCCCAAAUAGGAUGAGAACAAAAUUGUUUUGUCUC